CGAAGUGACCCAUUGAAGAUGGAGUGCUUGCACAAAGUUGGAUAUGGAUUCUCACUUAGUGGCGGACGGGUGAGUAACACGUAGGUAACCUACCUUUAAGUCUGGGAUAACAGUUGGAAACGAUUGCUAAUACCGGAUAAUCUGUAGAAUGGAAUCUUUCUAUAUUAAAAGAAGCCUUUAAAGCUUCGCUUAAAGAUGGGCCUGCGGUGCAUUAGCUAGUUGGUGGGGUAAUGGCUUACCAAGGCAACGAUGCAUAGCCGAGCUGAGAGGUUGAUCGGCCACACUGGGACUGAGACACGGGCCACACUCCUACGGGAGGCAGCAGUAGGGAAUAUUCGUCAAUGGGGGAAACCCUGAACGAGCAAUGCCGCGUGAGUGAUGACGGUCCUAUGGAUUGUAAAACUCUGUUAUUUGGGAAGAAUGUCUAAAAUAGGAAAUGAUUUUAGAGUGACGGUACCAAAUGAGAAAGCCCCGGCUAACUACGUGCCAGCAGCCGCGGUAAUACGUACGGGGCGAGCGUUAUCCGGAUUCAUUGAGCGUAAAGCGUGUGUAGGCGGUUUAUUACGUCUGUGGUCAAAUGCUAAAGCUUAACUUUAGUACGCCGUGUAAACUGGUAAACUUGACUAGAGAAGAGGCAGUGAAAUUCCUAGUGUAGCGGUGGAAUGCCGAGAUAUUAGGAGAAACCCGUUGGCGAAAGCGGCUUGUUGGGCUCUUAAUGAAGCUGAAAACCAAAGCCGGGGUAGCAAAUUGGAUAAAACCCGCUCUGUUCCCCUCUCCAAAAAACAAUGAAUACUAAGUGGUGGA
rnacentral:rRNA from 1 species